UAUGUGAUCGUCUCUCGCAUAUCAAUAAGCGGAGGAAAAGAAACUAACUAAGGAUUCCCUUAGUAACGGACGAGUGAAGCGGGAAGAGCUCAAAUUUGAAAUCUUAAAGGGUUUCCCUUUACGAAUUGUAGUUUAAAGAAGUGUUUUCUGUUGAGGUUUUGGUAAAAGUUCUUUGGAAUAGGACAUCAUAGAGGGUGAGAAUCCCGUAUUUGACCUUUACUUUCAACUUUGUGAUACACUUUCAAAGAGUCGGAUUGUUUGGGAAUGCAGUCCAAAAUGGGUGGUAAAUUUCAUCUAAAGCUAAAUAUUGGCGAGAGACCGAUAGCGAACAAGUACCGUGAGGGAAAGAUGAAAAGAACUUUGAAAAGAGAGUUAAACAGUACGUGAAAUUGUCAAAAGGGAAGCGUUUGACACCAGUGUUGUUUUUCUGAAAAUCAAUUAAAGAACUGUUUAUGCUAAGUUGUUUAGACUUUAUCAGCUAAUCUGUUUAGUUUUGAGCUUUUCUUUAAUGCACUUUUCAGUUAACAAGUCAACAUCAACUUCUUUUGCUGUAAAAAAGCUUGAGGAAGGUGGCUUGAGAUUCGUCUUAAGUGUUUAUAGCCUCUUGCCUAUGCAGUCGGAGAGAUUGAGGUCUGCAGCGUAGAUCCUUCGGGGCUAAAUGCAUUUGUGCUAAGUUAUAGCAUUUUAUAGACAACUUGUUGACUAUGAUUUGUCUUGUAGCUUACUCGCUUAUGUUAUUUUACCUACGCUUAGGAUGUUGACUGAUAUGUAGUCGUA
rnacentral:rRNA from 1 species